GUGCUCGCUCAGGCUGUACAUACACUAAAAUUGGAACGAUAGAGAAGAUUAGUAUGGCCCCUGCACAAGGAUGACACACGCAAAUUCGUGAAGCAUUCCAUAUUUUU